GCCAGGAUGAACCCAGGUGGUCCUGGGCGCGGACUUCAAAUCCGUGGCGGCCGAGAGGCCGAGUGGUUCAAUUCCACCUUCCCGGCG